CAUCUACGGAGAGUUUGAUCCUGGCUCAGGACGAACGCUG
rnacentral:rRNA from 1 species